rnacentral:rRNA from 10 species
AAAUUGAAGAGUUUGAUCAUGGCUCAGAUUGAACGCUGGCGGCAGGCCUAACACAUGCAAGUCGAACGGUAACAGGAAGCAGCUUGCUGCUUUGCUGACGAGUGGCGGACGGGUGAGUAAUGUCUGGGAAACUGCCUGAUGGAGGGGGAUAACUACUGGAAACGGUGGCUAAUACCGCAUAACGUCGCAAGACCAAAGAGGGGGACCUUCGGGCCUCUUGCCAUCAGAUGUGCCCAGAUGGGAUUAGCUUGUUGGUGAGGUAACGGCUCACCAAGGCGACGAUCCCUAGCUGGUCUGAGAGGAUGACCAGCCACACUGGAACUGAGACACGGUCCAGACUCCUACGGGAGGCAGCAGUGGGGAAUAUUGCACAAUGGGCGCAAGCCUGAUGCAGCCAUGCCGCGUGUAUGAAGAAGGCCUUCGGGUUGUAAAGUACUUUCAGCGGGGAGGAAGGUGUUGUGGUUAAUAACCACAGCAAUUGACGUUACCCGCAGAAGAAGCACCGGCUAACUCCGUGCCAGCAGCCGCGGUAAUACGGAGGGUGCAAGCGUUAAUCGGAAUUACUGGGCGUAAAGCGCACGCAGGCGGUCUGUCAAGUCGGAUGUGAAAUCCCCGGGCUCAACCUGGGAACUGCAUUCGAAACUGGCAGGCUUGAGUCUUGUAGAGGGGGGUAGAAUUCCAGGUGUAGCGGUGAAAUGCGUAGAGAUCUGGAGGAAUACCGGUGGCGAAGGCGGCCCCCUGGACAAAGACUGACGCUCAGGUGCGAAAGCGUGGGGAGCAAACAGGAUUAGAUACCCUGGUAGUCCACGCCGUAAACGAUGUCUACUUGGAGGUUGUGCCCUUGAGGCGUGGCUUCCGGAGCUAACGCGUUAAGUAGACCGCCUGGGGAGUACGGCCGCAAGGUUAAAACUCAAAUGAAUUGACGGGGGCCCGCACAAGCGGUGGAGCAUGUGGUUUAAUUCGAUGCAACGCGAAGAACCUUACCUGGUCUUGACAUCCACGGAAGUUUUCAGAGAUGAGAAUGUGCCUUCGGGAACCGUGAGACAGGUGCUGCAUGGCUGUCGUCAGCUCGUGUUGUGAAAUGUUGGGUUAAGUCCCGCAACGAGCGCAACCCUUAUCCUUUGUUGCCAGCGAUUAGGUCGGGAACUCAAAGGAGACUGCCAGUGAUAAACUGGAGGAAGGUGGGGAUGACGUCAAGUCAUCAUGGCCCUUACGACCAGGGCUACACACGUGCUACAAUGGCGCAUACAAAGAGAAGCGACCUCGCGAGAGCAAGCGGACCUCAUAAAGUGCGUCGUAGUCCGGAUUGGAGUCUGCAACUCGACUCCAUGAAGUCGGAAUCGCUAGUAAUCGUGGAUCAGAAUGCCACGGUGAAUACGUUCCCGGGCCUUGUACACACCGCCCGUCACACCAUGGGAGUGGGUUGCAAAAGAAGUAGGUAGCUUAACCUUCGGGAGGGCGCUUACCACUUUGUGAUUCAUGACUGGGGUGAAGUCGUAACAAGGUAACCGUAGGGGAACCUGCGGUUGGAUCACCUCCUUA